AUGAACGCUGGCGGCGUGCCUAAUACAUGCAAGUCGAGCGAACGGACGAGAAGCUUGCUUUUCUGAUGUUAGCGGCGGACGGGUGAGUAACACGUGGAUAACCUACCUAUAAGACUGGGAUAACUUCGGGAAACCGGAGCUAAUACCGGAUAAUAUUUUGAACCGCAUGGUUCAAAAGUGAAAGACGGUCUUGCUGUCACUUAUAGAUGGAUCCGCGCUGCAUUAGCUAGUUGGUAAGGUAACGGCUUACCAAGGCAACGAUGCAUAGCCGACCUGAGAGGGUGAUCGGCCACACUGGAACUGAGACACGGUCCAGACUUCUACGGGAGGCAGCAGUAGGGAAUCUUCCGCAAUGGGCGAAAGCCUGACGGAGCAACGCCGCGUGAGUGAUGAAGGUCUUCGGAUCGUAAAACUCUGUUAUUAGGGAAGAACAUAUGUGUAAGUAACUGUGCACAUCUUGACGGUACCUAAUCAGAAAGCCACGGCUAACUACGUG
rnacentral:rRNA from 1 species